rnacentral:rRNA from 1 species
CGACUCUCGGCAACGGAUAUCUCGGCGUCUCGCAUCGAUGAAGAACGUAGCGAAAUGCGAUACUUGGUGUGAAUUGCAGAAUCCCGUGAACCAUCGAGUCUUUGAACGCAAGUUGCGCCCGAAGCCGUCAGGCCGAGGGCACGCCUGCCUGGGCGUCACG